rnacentral:rRNA from 1 species
AUUGAACGCUGGCGGCAUGCUUUACACAUGCAAGUCGAACGGCAGCGCGGGCUUCGGCCUGGCGGCGAGUGGCGAACGGGUGAGUAAUACAUCGGAACGUGCCCAGUAGUGGGGGAUAGCUCGGCGAAAGCCGGAUUAAUACCGCAUACGACCUGAGGGUGAAAGCGGGGGAUCUUCGGACCUCGCGCUAUUGGAGCGGCCGAUGGCAGAUUAGCUAGUUGGUGGGGUAAAGGCCUACCAAGGCGACGAUCUGUAGCUGGUCUGAGAGGACGACCAGCCACACCGGGACUGAGACACGGCCCAGACUCCUACGGGAGGCAGCAGUGGGGAAUUUUGGACAAUGGGCGAAAGCCUGAUCCAGCAAUGCCGCGUGUGUGAUGAGGGCCUUCGGGUUGUAAAGCACUUUUGGCGGGAACGAAAAGGACUGUGCCAAUACCACGGUUCGAUGACGGUACCCGCAGAAUAAGCACCGGCUAACUACGUG